GGGUUGUGAGGUUAAGCGACUAAGCGUACACGGUGGAUGCCCUGGCAGUCAGAGGCGAUGAAGGACGUGCUAAUCUGCGAAAAGCGUCGGUAAGGUGAUAUGAACCGUUAUAGCCGGCGAUGUCCGAAUGGGGAAACCCAGUGUGAUUCGUCACACUAUCGUUAACUGAAUACAUAGGUUAACGAGGCGAACCGGGG
rnacentral:rRNA from 1 species